rnacentral:rRNA from 1 species
UACGGAAGGUUCUGGUGUUAUCCGGAUUUAUUGGGUUUAAAGGGAGCGUAGGCCGUCUUUUAAGCGUGUUGUGAAAAGUCCUGGCUUAACCAGGGCCGUGCAGCGCGAACUGGGAGACUUGAGAGUGCAGAAAGCAGGCGGAAUUUGUGGUGUAGCGGUGAAAUGCUUAGAUAUCACGAAGAACUCCGAUUGCGAAGGCAGCUUGCUGUAGUAUAUCUGACGCUGAUGCUCGAAGGUGCGGGUAUCGAACAGG